CGGAAUGGGGAGUGUUGGGGGGAGUUAAAUUGGUCAUGCAAGCUUUGUCAAUAGGUUAAUUUUUUUAAUAAAUUGGAGAAUUGGUAAAUAGUAGGAUUUUCUUAUCUUCUCUUUUAAUUGGUAAAAUAUUCUAAAAAUGUUAUGUAUCUGACUCAAAUAAUUAGCGCGACAUUAUUUUAUUAGAGAUUCUAAUUUGUUACUACAUUACAAUUUCACUAAACCCAUUGCAAUUGAAAUUGAAAAAUGCAUUGAGUGUUAAAAAAAUGGUUGGAUUCUCCUAAUCAUCCUUCAAAAUAAUUUCUAAUAGAUAUUUAAAUUUAUUGUUUGUUUUCCAUUUGUCACAACAAUCCAAUUUUUAAAAAGAAGUCAAGAAUAUUUUGCUAUGACCUUUGUAAUUCUGAUGAUAAUAGUUGAUUUUAUUCAAGUAUUGUCUUAUUUUUUGCAGAUCUUGUCCUAAAAGAUAAGAUUGUUGUCUACGAUUUGGCUAAUCAGCAAAUAGGAUGGACAAAUUAUAAUUGUUCUAUGCAUGUGAAUGUAAGUGUGACCGUGAGCAAAGACAAGAACAAUAAUCCUAGAGCAAAGCAGUCGAGUUCCAUCAUCAGUUCAGAGUUAGGGAUUUUGUCAAAGUUAUUACAUGUGAUUAUUGUGGCUCUUUUUAUGCCAUUUUUGUAAUUUAAUUUCAAUAUUCAAUCAAUGUAAUAUUGAUAUGUUUAAAAUCUAUAAGUAACAUGUGUGACUUCAAUUGUGAUGUUGUAGAUAUGGUUGUUGUUUUCUAUUAAGUUAAUGGAUACUCUAUUAUUGGUACUUUGCUAA